UUGGAACAACCAGGACACUGAUUUACACACUCAAACAUGAAAUCAGGCUCCCUGGCACUUGUGGCCAUUGUCCUUGACCCAAAGCAAUGUCA
rnacentral:lncRNA from 1 species